GCAUGGCAUGGCUUGUAGAUGGGGGUGCACUAACUGAAGGAUCUGCCUCAGGCUCUGAUACAAAAUGAAUAUCAGAACUCGACCUAAGCUCAGGUGGUGAUGAGAAACCCUCCCCCCUCAGCAUGCUCCUCCGCCUCCUCCUCCACAACUACAGCACCUCGACCCUAGGUCCAAUGACCAUCCAUCCAAAUAAAACCCAUACAUCGAAGGAAACGAUCAUUGUAAGUGUCAGUGUUUAGCAGCCAUUGAAGGAACUUGAUCUAGGGUUUCAGGAUAAGAUCUUGAAACUUUUUCAAGAUCAGGC
rnacentral:lncRNA from 1 species